ACGAACUCGCUGUUUGAGCGCGUGAAAUCACUGAAAUGGGAAGUCCGGUUCAAGUCCGGCGCUGCCCCCGCAACGGUAACUGGUUAAACACCAGAAGCCCGAUACCAGCCUUUUGCAGCACACCUCU
rnacentral:ncRNA from 1 species